UCCGAGUUGACCCCGGCAGUCUCCUACGAGUCCCCGGCAUAACCCGCUGGCAACAUAGGACAAGGGUUGCGCUCGUUGCGGGACUUAACCCAACAUCUCACGGCACGAGCUGACGACAGCCAUGCAGCACCUGUGCUAGCCCCUUACGGACACGCGCUUUCACGCGCUUUAACUAGCAUGUCAAGGGUAGGUAAGGUUCUUCGCGUUGCGUCGAAUUAAACCACAUGCUCCGCUGCUUGUGCGGGCCCCCGUCAAUUCCUUUGAGUUUUAAUCUUGCGACCGUACUCCCCAGGCGGGGCACUUAAUGCGUUAGCUGCGGCACCCAGGGGGUCAAUACCCCGGACACCUAGUGCCCAUCGUUUACAGCGUGGACUAC
rnacentral:misc_RNA from 1 species